GGUACUUAGAGGAUGAGUUGGUUUCAAUUAAUACAGAAAACUUUAAGAUUCUUGAUUGGUGGAAAGUGGCUGGGACAAGCUUUCCUACAUUGAGGAAGGUAGCACGAGAUAUAUUUGCUAUUCCUGUUAGCACUGUUGCAUCUGAAUCUGCAUUUAGCACAAGUGGAAGGGUUCUUAGUGAGCAUCGUAGCCGGCUUACUCCAGAACUCUUGGAGGCCUUAAUGUGCUCACAAGAUUGGCUGCGAAACAAGUAUCGAGCUGAUAAUGAAGAAGCAGCAAGCUUUUGGAGUUGCCUUCAAGAUAUCCAAGAUCGGAUUGAGGUAUUCUUUCAACAACUUGAAAUUAGCAAUCAAACUCCUAUUGCCAUUAUUUGUUAUAUCCUUAUAAAAUACUUGACUAAUUGAAUAUCUUUUGCUACUUCUUUAAUUUAGGGACUUGCUCUUGUUUGAAGACAUGAAUGUAUGGACAUGCACUGUUCUUGCAAUGAUUUUGGAUGUUUGUAACCCCUGUUAUGUGUCAUGAUAAACUUGUAAACCAUGGCAAUGCUUUUGGAUAUUUGGCACAAAAGACCUACUCCGAACUAUGGUUUUACGUAUGCAUGGACAACAUGUGUUGUUGCUGCAAUGUGGUGAUAACUAAUGAGUGAUGACUGAUGAAUGAUGAAUGAUCAUGUAUUAUUGUGUUGUUGCUUAAUCUGGGAAUAUGAUGGAUAUUGUAUUCUUGGGCACACUUUUGUUGCACUGCUUGUUGCUGCACUGCUGUUGUAAGUGAUGAAUUGAUGAUGUGCAUUUGUGAACUGAUGAUGUGCAUUUGCGAA